rnacentral:rRNA from 1 species
AGGGCGCUUACCACUUUGUGAUUCAUGACUGGGGUGAAGUCGUAACAAGGUAACCGUAGGGGAACCUGCGGUUGGAUUACCUCCUUA